rnacentral:rRNA from 1 species
UACGAAGGGGGCUAGCGUUGUUCGGAAUCACUGGGCGUAAAGCGCACGCAGGCGGAUCGUUAAGUCAGGGGUGAAAUCCCGGGGCUCAACCUCGGAAUUGCCUUCGAUACUGUUAGUCUUGAGUCCGGGAGAGGUGAGUGGAAUUCCUAGUGUAGAGGUGAAAUUCGUAGAUAUUAGGAAGAACACCAGUGGCGAAGGCGGCUCACUGGCCCGGUACUGACGCUCAUGUGCGAAAGCGUGGGGAGCAAACAGG